rnacentral:antisense_RNA from 1 species
AGAGCAAGAUGACAAGCUCGCUAAUAAGCUCUGUUGGGGAGGUCUCAGCCCAGGCCAGAGCUGUGAAGUGAGAAAUAACAAGUCCAGUUUAAAUAGUGCUGCUGGGAUGGACUUUUGUGGCCAGGGAAGGGGUACCCAGGAGCCAGUGUGGCCACUGACCCAGCCUCAUCAAUGGCCCUAGGAUCCAGAAUGCCACAAACAAUGGAGCAAGAAUCAGAUCUGUGUGUCUGGGCUGGAAUGCAAUGGUGUGAUCUUGGCUCACUGCGACCUCCACCUCCUGGGUUCAAGCGAUUCUCCUGCUUCUGCCUCCCGAGUAGCUGGGAUUACAGACAAAGAAUUCAAGACUAAGCUGGGCAUGGUGGCACGCACCUGUAGUCUCAGCUACUUGGGAGGCUGAGGCAGGAGAAUCACAUGAACCUGGCAGGCUGAGGUUGCAGUGAGCCGAGAUUGCGCCACUGCACUCCAGCCUGGCCACAGAGCAAGACUCCAUCUCAAAAAAAAAAAAAAAAAGAAGAAGUCAAGACUAAGAAGAGUGAAGUAUGAAGUAAUUCACCCACAGACACCCAGCUAGUGAGUGGCAGACCUGGAAGACAAACUAGUUCUGUUUGGCAUCAGAAUCUAUGCUGUCAGCCAUCUCACCACAUUCAUGUGACAUCCAACAAAGUGGUCCUUCACCUGCUACUAAGUCUUGCUAGGGCUAGUUCCAGAGCCAAGACUAUGAAGUGGACAAUGAUCUAUGAAGCGCUAAGUGAACAGAUGUCAUGUAAAUAGCUUGGAUCUCUACGUGCAUGUGUGCAUUGUAUAUGUUUACCAAAGACCUUGUUACAGUGUUUUUAGGCAUGGCUCACUUUAUAAAGGUUGUCACAGUUGGCCAAGCUAUCUGGUAUUUAUUACUCAUUUGAUACUCACACCUGCUCAAUGAUGCUGGUAUCGUUACUCUCCAUAAUGAUUCUCCCAUCAUUUUACAGAUGGGGUUCAGAAAGAUCAGGUGGUAGAUCCAUAGUCACACUCUAGUUAAUUGAUAGGACUGAGAAUUCAAUGCAUGCCCACUGCCUUCUCUUACAAGUCUUGGGGUAUUUGAGUGUAAUUCAAUAAUGACAACCCCUUCACUGUCCAAAAGGGGUGAAUGGAACAUCAAGCUGUCACAAAGGCUAGGUUGGAGGGCAUGGCUUAUAUCCUUGGGUAAGUAGGCUUACUAAACUUAAACCCUAAAGUUGAACUGACUUAACUACCCAGUCCCAGCAGCUGGAGUGGGACAGGACACUGGGUCUAUAUGGAGAGGGGUCUGCCCAGAUUAGCUUUAGGACGUGGAGAAGCAGAGAACUCAUGUUCCUACAAACAGGUUCACUCUCAAGAUAAAGACAAGGAACCAAACUCAGCCUGCCUGCUUCAUUUUUUCAUAUUUGCCAAUCAGAUAAGUCACUUCCGCCCCCAGAGAGAUUUAAUAAAGGAGCAGAGAAAGACUUCUAAUAAAAUUCCCUCCAUAUGGAAGGAAAAGGAGACAUCGGGAGUUACGUUAAUCAUGCUCAUUUCUUAACAGUGCAAAUAUCAAGAGUUAGAAAUUAGAGUUCCUGGCUGGGUGCGGUGCCUCACUCCUGUAAUCCUAGCACUUUGGAAGGCCAAGGCAGGCGGAUUGCCGGAGCUCAGGAGUUCGAGACCAGCCUGGGCAACACGGUGAAACCUUGUCUCUACUAAAAUACAGAAAAAUAGCCAGGCGUGGCAGCGUGCACCUGUAAUCCCAGCUACUCGGGAGGCUAAGGCAGGAGAAUUGCUUGAACAAGGGAGCCAGAGGUUGCAGUGAGCCGAGAUUGCACCACUGCACUCCAACCUGGGUGACAGAGCGAGACUCUGUCUCCAAAAAAAAAAAAACAAAACAGAAAUAAGAGUUCCCACAUGACAGCAAGAAUCACUGAAAAUGCUGGACCCACUGUCAAUGCUGUAUUGUUGCAAAGAAAAUGUUUAUCUUGCCUAACUUUAAAGUCACACAUGCCUGGGAACUUCCAACUAGAACACAGCUGGCAAAGCAGACACCCUCUCCCUGCAGCCUCAUUGAAAAUGACCUCCUUUACAUUUCCUCAUUGAGAAUCUGCCCAGUGAGGACUGUGGCAGAAGAGAGUCAGGGAGAAUUUUCUAGCUGAUUAGGGUUAGAAAAUGAAGACGAGGGCUCUCUUGUAAUCAGCAGGAAGCUAUGAUAGAAAAGAAUGCCUUUUAAAUUUGAAGUGCAAAACUAGAAAAUAGAAAAUUAUUAGGGGGGUUUGAUGUGAAGUUUCGGAACUCUUUUCAAGACUGUGUGUUUUGAAGAUAAGAUUUUAAAUAAUGUAGGAAGGUACAGUCUAUACUGAUGGGUUCAGGAUAUGCUAACCCAAAAUAUGGCACCUUGGUGUUUGAGAAAAUGGCGGAAGCAGGAAGGUCAUUCUCACCAUCCACCUCCCUUUCCCCCUCCUGAAGCAGGUCUCCUUUGAAAGGCCCCUCCCUGUAACCAGAAGAAAGGAACAUUUUUAUCUUUGAAGUCACAGGGUCACAGAGAAGAAUCUGAACAGGACUUACUAAAUUCUUCCAGUUUGUCACCAUUUGCUCAUACCAUCUUUGUCCAGUUAUAUUUCUCCAAAGCUAUCCACUCUUCAUCAAACUUAGCAUAAAAAUUGUAAAACCUUACACGUUUCUUCAGGUCUUCCUUUUCCUUAGGAAGCCUCCCAUGUCACAUGAAACUUAAAUAAAAUAAAUCUG